GAUGAACGCUGGCGGCGUGCCUAAUACAUGCAAGUCGAGCGAACGGACGAGAAGCUUGCUUCUCUGAUGUUAGCGGCGGACGGGUGAGUAACACGUGGAUAACCUACCUAUAAGACUGGGAUAACUUCGGGAAACCGUAGCUAAUACCGGAUAAUAUUUUGAACCGCAUGGUUCAAAAGUGAAAGACGGUCUUGCUGUCACUUAUAGAUGGAUCCGCGCUGCAUUAGCUAGUUGGUAAGGUAACGGCUUACCAAGGCAACGAUGCAUAGCCGACCUGAGAGGGGGAGGGGCCAAACGGGAAGUGAAAAACGGUCCAAGUCCCCAGGGGGGGCAGAAGGAGGGAAUUUUCCGAAAUGGGGGAAAGCCUGACGGAGAAAGGCCGGGGGGUGGAUGAAAGGUUUGGGAUGGAAAAACCUUGUUAUUAGGGAAAAAAAUAUGGGAAAGUAACUGGGCAAAGCUUGAGGGUAAAAAAAAAAAAAACCACGGCUAACUACGU
rnacentral:rRNA from 1 species